rnacentral:ncRNA from 1 species
AAUAGAGGAGCGGCCGAGCAUGAGUAUCCCCGCCGCACGGAAGGCGGUUUUCCGACGGGGAGAAAGGGCGUCGCCGCCGAAGCGCAGCGCGAUCACCGCAGACGCUGACGCUGGGCGCAGGGGUCAAUACCCCGGCGACUGUCACACCGACGUGGAGAACUAUUA